GUAGGGAAUCUUCCACAAUGGGCGCAAGCCUGAUGGAGCAACACCGCGUGAGUGAAGAAGGGUUUCGGCUCGUAAAGCUCUGUUGUUAAAGAAGAACACGUAUGAGAGUAACUGUUCAUACGUUGACGGUAUUUAACUAGAAGUCACGGCUAACUACGUGCCAC
rnacentral:rRNA from 1 species